CGGAACGAACGCUGGCGGCGCGUUUAAGCAUGCAAGUCGAGCGGCAAGGGCCUUCGGGCCCCUAGAGCGGCGGACGGGUGAGUAACACGUGGACAAUCUGCCCCCCGGCCCGGGAUAGCCCAGGGAAACCUGGAUUAAUACCGGAUGAGACGGGACCCGCGAUGGCGGGACCCGGGAAAGGCGCUGCGGCGCCGCCGGGGGAUGAGUCUGCGUCCCAUUAGCUAGACGGCGGGGUAACGGCCCACCGUGGCGACGAUGGGUAGCCGGCCUGAGAGGGUGGACGGCCACAUUGGAACUGAGACACGGUCCAGACUCCUACGGGAGGCAGCAGCUAAGAAUCUUCCGCAAUGGGCGAAAGCCUGACGGAAGCGACGCCGCGUGAACGAAGAAGGCCGUGAGGUUGUAAAGUUCUUUUCGGGAGGGGGAACAACCGUGGCAGGGAAUGGCCGCGGGAUGACGUGAAUCCCGGAAUAAGCCCCGGCUAACUACGUGCCAGCCGCCGC
rnacentral:rRNA from 1 species